GAUGAACGCUGGCGGCGUGCCUAAUACAUGCAAGUAGAACGCUGAAGGAGGAGCUUGCUCUUCUGGAUGAGUUGCGAACGGGUGAGUAACGCGUAGGUAACCUGCCUGGUAGCGGGGGAUAACUAUUGGAAACGAUAGCUAAUACCGCAUGACAACAGUUAUUGCAUGAUAACUGUUUAAAAGGGGCAACUGCUCCACUACCAGAUGGACCUGCGUUGUAUUAGCUAGUUGGUGAGGUAACGGCUCACCAAGGCGACGAUACAUAGCCGACCUGAGAGGGUGAUCGGCCACACUGGGACUGAGACACGGCCCAGACUCCUACGGGAGGCAGCAGUAGGGAAUCUUCGGCAAUGGACGGAAGUCUGACCGAGCAACGCCGCGUGAGUGAAGAAGGGUUUCGGAUCGUAAAGCUCUGUUGUAAGAGAAGAGCGAGUGUGAGAGUGGAAAGUUCACACUGUGACGGUAUCUUACCAGAAAGGGACGGCUAACUACGUG
rnacentral:rRNA from 1 species